AACUGCUGCACAAGGAGUGUUCGAUUGGACUCCUUUUCACACAAUGAACAACCAGCUUAGAACUGAUGCGGGCAAGGGGAAUCCGACUGUUUAAUUGAAACAAAGUAUUGCGAUGCCCUGAAAGGAUGUUGACACAAUGUGAUUUCUGCCCAGUGCUCUGAAUGUCAAAGUGAGGAGAUUCAACUAAGCGCGGGUAAACGGCGGGAGUAACUAUGACUCUCUUAAGGUAGCCAAAUGCCUCGUCAUCCAAUUAGUGACGCGCAUGAAUGGAUUAAUGAGAUUCCUACUGUCCCAAUCUACUGUCCAGCGAAACCACAGCCAAGGGAACGGGCUUGGGUGAGUCAGCGGGGAAAGAAGACCCUGUUGAGCUUGACUCUAAUCCGACUUUGUGAAAUGACUUAGGAGGAGUAGGAUAUGUGGGAGCUCAGGUGAUCUUGAAAUACCACUACUUUUAAUGUCACUUUACUUACUCUAUCCAACUGUGCCCUGCCUCACAGCAGGUUUUUGCUUUUAAGGUUGCUCUUUUGGCGUGUUGAUUUGCGUAAAAGACGUCGUCCGGUGGUGAGUUUGGCUGGGGCGGCACAUCUGUUAAAGGAUAACGCAGGUGUCCUAAGGUGAGCUCAAUGAGAACAGAAAUCUCAUGCGGAUCAAAAGGGGAAACGCUUGCUUGAUUUUGCUUUUCAGUGUGAAGAUAAACUGUGCAAACAUGGCCUAUUGAUCCUUUAG
rnacentral:rRNA from 1 species